AAACUUCACACUGGGGGAAACCCCGAUGAGGGAAAUCCUAGUGCUAGGACAUUUGUUCUAGCUUUUCUCAAGCGUAGAUAACUUGAGGAAUAAGGGCUGGGUAAGACGGGUGCCAGCCGCCGCGGUAAUACCUGCAGCCCAAGUGGUGGUCGAUUUUAUUGAGUCUAAAACGUUCGUAGCCGGUUUGAUAAAUCUUUGGGUAAAUCGGGAGGCUUAACUUUCCGACUUCCGAAGAGACUGUCGAACUUGGGACCGGGAGAGGCUAGAGGUACUUCUGGGGUAGGGGUAAAUCCUGUAAUCCUAGAAGGACCACCGGUGGCGAAGGCGUCUAGCUAGAACGGAUCCGACGGUGAGGGACGAAGCCCUGGGUCGCAAACGGGAUUAGAUACCCCGGUAGUCCAGGGUGUAAACGCUGCAGACUUGGUGUUGGAGGCCAUUCGGUGGCAUUCAGUGCCGGAGAGAAGUUGUUAAGUCUGCUACUUGGGGAGUACGUCGCAGGAUGAAACUUAAGAAUU
rnacentral:rRNA from 1 species